AUUAUUUUUGAAUUGCAAAUGAACAAUCAGAUGGCAAAUUUAGGACUGAAAAAUAGAAUUUUGAUAUCUCUUACUUGAGAUUCUAAAUCAAGGAUUUAGACCAUAAAGAACAGUAAGAUUUACAUUAUAAUUAUAUAAUCUAGUAAUUAUAUUAUAUAUUUAAUAUUAUAUAUUACAUAUAAUUAUAUUAUAAUUAGUAUUAUAUAAUAUAACAGUAAUACAUAUAUUACCAUUAUACUAUAUUACAGUAAUAACUCAGAAAUCACUGAAGUAUUUAAUAGUUAAUUAUAUCUCAAACUUCAUUACUUAAUGAAUCAGUUUCUAUAUACUGCUUUCAAUCACUUUUUAUUAACUGCAUCCAAAAACCGCAACAGGUGCAGGAAUAAAUUGAUGAUAUCCAAGUAGAGGCUGAUGGCAGC